UAGGGAAUUUUCGUCAAUGGGCGCAAGCCUGAACGAGCAAUGCCGCGUGAACGAGGAAGGUCUUCGGAUCGUAAAGUUCUGUUGAAGGGGAAAAAGAGCGGAGAGAGGAAAUGAUCUCUGAUUGAUAUUACCCUUCGAGGAAGUCACGGCUAACUACGUGCCAGCAGCCGCGGUAAUACGUAGGUGGCGAGCGUUAUCCGGAAUGAUUGGGCGUAAAGGGUGCGUAGGCGGCCUGCUAAGUCUGGAGUGAAAGGUACCGGCUCAACCGGUACAGGCUCUGGAAACUGGCGGGCUAGAGAGCAG
rnacentral:rRNA from 1 species